rnacentral:lncRNA from 1 species
AUGUGGUGCAGACACACAGCGGGAUGUGACUCGGACGUAAGAGACAGUGGACUCUUCCCAUUUGCGAUGACGUGGACGGAGCGAGAGAGUAUGACGCUAAGUCAGACACAGAAACACACAUACUACAUGACUUCGCUCGUAUGUGGAAUGGAAGAAACAAAACAAAGGAGCAAAGGGAAAAAGAGAGAGAGAGAGAGAGCAGCAGACCAAGAAAGAGACUCUUCACUACAGGGAACGCACUGCUGGUCACCGAAGGGGAGAUGACUGUAGUUACAAAGUAGAGUCGACUUUGACAUCCAGUAGAAGGACAAUAGUGUGACAUCAGCCUUCGAUGGACGUUCCCCAUGAACACACAAGACCUAUUCCCAGAACAGAUGGCAUGCAUAACAAGGAAGAGACACGUGAUCCUGUGUUGGAAGAAGAAGCCAACUGGAAGAGAAAGGUGAGAAAGAACCAUGAUAGGACAAUUUAGUGAAACGUUCUUUCCCAGAGCACACUUUUGCUGCUGGGGUGGAUGGGAUCACAGCUGUUUUUAGACAGCAGAGUCCAAGAGAAAAGUUAUCCUGGGCUUCCUUUGCCAUCUGAGAAAAUGCAACCAGCUGCAGUCACUAAUCUGUUACACAGUAAAG